CCGAAAAAGGCAAAGCCGUCGCAAGGCGGUGACGCAAAGCCACGGAACUCAGGAGAGUCAGCCGGGCAGCCG
rnacentral:ncRNA from 1 species